AAGUCGUAACAAGGUUUCCGUAGGUGAACCUGCGGAAGGAUCAUUACAUUCAGUAGCUUGCUACUGUUAGGGGGGUCUGUCAGCCUGUAUAGUAUCACUACUGAUGAGCAGCGCGACCCUCUGUCUGUACCCUUGUCUUUUGCGUACUCAUGUUUCCUCGGCGGGUUUACACCCGCCGGCUGGACAACUCUAUAACCUUUUUAAUUUUCAAUCAGCGUCUGAAAAACCUAAUAAUUACAACUUUCAACAACGGAUCUCUUGGUUCUG
rnacentral:misc_RNA from 1 species